AUUGGAGCAGUAGUUGGUGUUGUUGUUCUUCUACUAUUGUUA
rnacentral:sRNA from 1 species